AGAGAAGUAGGAAGCCCCGCCCACCUGCUGAAUAUUCACCGUACCAUUUUUUUCCACAUGGAAGUACUGCGCUAAGUUUCUCCUUAUCACCUAUGAAACCAGUAUUUUUGGCCUUCCAGGAGAAGCGACAUUUGAGGAAAACAUUCACCUUCAACGGUCAGGGAUGAGCACUCUCCUCACAUGGCUGUAUCAAGCACCCGCUCAAUUAGCAUCACAUGGUAGUGCACACAAUCUCCCAUAACCUCCAGACCUACGUGGAAUAAACAUCACAGCUCGACUAAAGAGGUAAGUCCACGAUCAAGUUGAGGGGUCGAGGGUAGAUCAGACAUAUCUGUAACAACAGCUGGACAGAGAGGAGCGAACUCUGUGAUAGUUUUUAGAUUGCAGUUAAAAUUCUGGGAGAA